rnacentral:lncRNA from 1 species
GAUAGAGCAUAAUUUAGUCCAUUUUAUAUUAAUAUUAUUGAUGAAUAUUUACAUGAUUUCUGCUUAAUUUAUUGCUUUUAAUAUUAUUUUGCAGAAAAUGGUGUAAAAGGACAAUUUGGAGAAAAUCCCCCUAAAACUGCCUUAUUUGGAGCCAAGAAAUAAUUGGGCCCGCACAUGACAGCCCAUUCUUGCAAAGAAGCAAGCACUUCACAUAAACCACCAUGGGCCCGCACUUCAUCAAUUCACGCUUAUGGACCAGCCCACAAAUGCAAGCU